rnacentral:rRNA from 1 species
UACCAGCACCCCGAGUGGUCGGGACGAUUAUUGGGCCUAAAGCAUCCGUAGCCGGUUCUACAAGUCUUCCGUUAAAUCCACCUGCUUAACAGAUGGGCUGCGGAGGAUACUAUAGAGCUAGGAGGCGGGAGAGGCAAGCGGUACUUAGUGGGUAGGGGUAAAAUCCGUUGAUCCAUUGAAGACCACCAGUGGCGAAGGCGGCUUACUGGUCCGGUUCUGACGCUGAGGCGCGAAAGCGUGGGGAGCAAACAGG